UGUAUUGGUUUAUUAAGCUACAUGCCAGGCCCUCUUGGAAGCGUGUUAUCCCCAUAACAACUCAAUGAUGUGGGUCUGUAAUUAUCCCCAUUUUACAGAUGGGAAAACUGAGUCACAGAGCAGUUCAGGCACCUGCCCAAAGCCACAGGAUAUUAAGGAGCAGAGCUGGGAUUGGAACCUAGGCCAUGCGGCUCCAAAAGCCAUGUUAUGCUCUUAACUGCUAAACUUUAUGGACACACGUCAUGAGAACCUCAGGAGAAGGCCAGAGGCCCAGCCAACAGCCACGAAGGAACUGAGCCCUCCUACCCUUAAUCACCUGGGUGAACUUGGAAGCAGACGCUCCACCUCCAGCGCAGUCUUCGAAUGGUGGUCCCAGCAAACAGCCCAAUUACCACCUCAAGACCGACCCUAAGAUGCUCUUGGAUUUCUUACCCCCCAGAAAUUAUGUGAGAUCAAUGUUUAUUGGUUCCCCGGCACCCGGGUACAUCCAGUCCGUUAAGCGUCGGACUCUUGGCAUCAGCUAAGGUCUUGAUCUCAGGGUUGUGAGUUCAAGCCCUGCAUUGGGCUCCAAGUUAGGCCAAAAAAAAAAAAAAAAAAAGUUGUUUUAGGGCGCCUGGGUGGCUCAGUGGGUUAAGCCGCUGCCUUCGGCUCAGGUCAUGAUCUCAGGGUCCUGGGAUCUAGUCCCACAUCGGGCUCUCUGCUCAGCAGGGAGCCUGCUUCCUCCUCUCACUCUCUAUCUGCCUGCCUCU
rnacentral:lncRNA from 1 species